rnacentral:miRNA from 1 species
UCAUUUGCAUUUGCACAUGAACUUUAGAAUCAGUUUGUCAAUUUCUAUGUAAAAGUCAGAUGAGUUUAUCAGUUGGGAUUGCAUUUGAUCUAUAAAUCCAUU